CCAGACUCCUACGGGAGGCAGCAGUGGGGGAUAUUGCACAAUGGGGGAAACCCUGAUGCAGCGACGCCGCGUGGGUGAAGAAGCGCCUCGGCGCGUAAAGCCCUGUCAGCAGGGAAGAAAAUGACGGUACCUGAGGAAGAAGCCCCGGCUAACUACGCGCCAGCAGCCGCGGUAAUACGUAGGGGGCAAGCGUUAUCCGGAUUUACUGGGUGUAAAGGGGGCGCAGACGGCAGCGCAAGCCAGGAGUGAAAGCCCGGGGCCCAACCCCGGGACUGCUCUUGGAACUGCGCGGCUGGAGUGCUGGAGGGGCAGGCGGAAUUCCUGGUGUAGCGGUGAAAUGCGUAGAUAUCAGGAGGAACACCGGUGGCGAAGGCGGCCUGCUGGACUGCGACUGACGUUGAGGCCCGAAAGCGUGGGGAGCAAACAGGAUUAGAUACCCUCGUAACC
rnacentral:rRNA from 1 species